rnacentral:rRNA from 1 species
GUGGAUUAGAUACCCUGGUAGUCCUGGCAGUAAACGGUGCACGCUUGGUGUGAGGGGAUUCGACCCCCCUUGUGCCGGAGCAAACGCGUUAAGCGUGCCGCCUGGGAAGUACGGUCGCAAGACUAAAACUCAAAGAAAUUGACGGGGACCCGCACAAGCGGUGGAGUAUGUGGCUUAAUUCGAUGCAACGCGAAGAACCUUACCAAGGCUUGACAUGCAUCUCUAAGCGCGUGAAAGCGCGUGACCCUUCGGGGGAUUUGCACAGGUGCUGCACGGCCGUCGUCAACU